rnacentral:rRNA from 1 species
GAGUUUUGAUCAUGGCUCAGGAUGAACGCUAGCGACAGGCUUAACACAUGCAAGUCGAGGGGCAGCACGGUGUAGCAAUACACUGGUGGCGACCGGCGCACGGGUGAGUAACACGUGUGCAACCAACCCCGUACCGGGAGAUAACCCGCGGAAACGUGGACUAACAUCCCAUGAUACUCGAGAGCCGCAUGGCUCUAGAUUUAAAAUUCCGGUGGUACGGGACGGGCACGCGCGACAUUAGGUAGUUGGCGGGGUAAGGGCCCACCAAGCCGACGAUGUCUAGGGGUUCUGAGAGGAAGGUCCCCCACACUGGAACUGAGACACGGUCCAGACUCCUACGGGAGGCAGCA